GCCUCGUGCCUCCCAGUUUUGUGCUUGUAGGAGGCAGUAAUGAACAAGCAGAUUAGUAUUUAAUACACUAAUCUGUACCGUGCUCUCUUCAAUAACGCUUUAAUUAUUUAGAUGGUCUUGAAGGCAGCCAACGUGCUUAAUACACUGUGCAGCGCAAUGUGCAAAUCACCGGAGCAAGGGAAAUUACAAGUCAAAGGAAAAUGAAUGGUCAGCUCACAGUCAGAGCCCACAGGUCUUCCACAAUGCCACUUGAUUACGAGCUGAAUAAUUUUCCUGGACAGCGACACUGAAGCUUUUAGUUUGUACGGGCAAAGGGCGUUUGAAAAUCUUGUACAUCCUGAACAUUUAAUUCUAAAGUUCCCCCUGGGGGGGAUGGCCUCUGUGAGCUUGACUAAAUCAAAAUGUUCUGGUUCAAGAAGGAAGAGAUACGUGGGGGAGGGGCCACAAACCAGGCUUCUGGAAAGCUCCUGGGAUUGUCUUCAGGGACCAAACCAGCUGAGGCUUUCUGUCACAGUUCCAGAAUGAAUAACUCACACAACUAAUUAAGGGUAGUCUCGAAUAAUUAACAUCUGUGCAACCAGACAAUUUUGCCUCCGGACCAUUGAGAAGCAAAUCCAAAAGUGAAUGAGCCCUGGGUGCCUCAGGGAGAAAUGCACCCUCCUUUGUACCCCACCACAGACGGUUCUGAGAGGCUUUUCAGGAGGCUCUUCAGAAGGUCCCAGCGGACCUUGCACUGUCACCAGGAGUGGCGGCUUUACAUUCUGUGUCCCACCUUCCAUGUAUCACUCCUCGUCUCUCACUCCCGCUCCCCGGGGGUCACUUCCCACCUUAACUACUCGUGCGUGCACAUGCGCAUGCGCAAAAACGUGCACACGCACGCGCUCGCGCGCGCGCACACAGACGCACGGGGUGAAUGGCGUGGUUUGGUACACCAAUGGUGCUUGCGAGGAGUGAGUUUUAUAUUCGUUGGACGACAUCUGGGUCUUCCUACGUGAGGAUUGUGGAAUUACACUCAAGUAUCACGAGACGUAGACAAGGCUGGGAUGAAGCUACAUGAACCCACGGUGGUUUCCUCAACAUUGUGGUUGGCUGAGGCUGAAGUUUCAACAGAGGCUCAACUAGGGAAGAGUUCUCUUCCAAGCUCAUUCACAGAGUUGGCAGAAUUCAUUCCCAUUUAGAAAUCAUGGCAAUUUGCUUCUUCAAGGCCAGCUCGAGGGAGAGGGUUUACUCUUUUUGUUAAGAUAGAUUCUUAAUAAAGAAUAUAAUACAGGAGUGACAU
ensembl:lncRNA